UUCCGUAGGGGUAACCUGCGGAGGGAUCAUUACAGAGUUAUCCAACUCCCAAACCCAUGUGAACUUAUCUCUUUGUUGCCUCGGCGCAAGCUACCCGGGACCUCGCGCCCCGGGCGGCCCGCCGGCGGACAAACCAAAACUCUUGUUAUCUUAGUUGAUUAUCUGAGUGUCUUAUUUAAUAAGUCAAAACUUUCAACAACGGAUCUCUUGGUUCUGGCAUCGAUGAAGAACGCAGCGAAAUGCGAUAAGUAAUGUGAAUUGCAGAAUUCAGUGAAUCAUCGAAUCUUUGAACGCACAUUGCGCCCAUUAGUAUUCUAGUGGGCAUGCCUGUUCGAGCGUCAUUUCAACCCCUAAGCACAGCUUAUUGUUGGGAACCUACGGCUUCGUAGUUCCUCAAAGACAUUGGCGGAGUGGCAGUGGUCCUCUGAGCGUAGUAAUCUUUUAUCUCGCUUCUGUUAGGUGCUGCCCCCCCGGCCGUAAAACCCCCAAUUUUUUCUGGUUGACCUCGGAUCAGGUAGGAAUACCCGCUGAACUUAAGCAUAUCAA
rnacentral:rRNA from 1 species